AGCAAGCUUACUUCCAGCUGUGGCCAGUGUAUGACAGGAAUCAGAAUAAGGCUGAGAACUCCUGUGGUUGAAAAGGAUGUUGUAUUCUGCAAGAGGCCUUCUUACAAAGACAGGACUGGAGGUUACAAGGGAAGACCCUGGACAUCGAUUCCCCAGAAAACAAUGGAACAGAAC